rnacentral:rRNA from 1 species
AUACGGAGGACGCGAGCGUUAUCCGGAUUCAUUGGGUUUAAAGGGUGCGCAGGCGGCCGUGCAAGUCAGCGGUGAAAGCCCGGGGCCCAACCCCGGAAGUGCCGUUGAUACUGCAUGGCUGGAAUGCGGUCGAGGCGGGCGGAAAGGGGCGUGUAGCGGUGAAAUGCGUAGAGAUGCCACAGAACGCCGAUAGCGGAGGCAGCUCGCCAGGCCUGCAGUGACGCUCGGGCACGAAAGCGUGGGGAUCGAACAGGAUUAGAUACCCUGGUAGUCCACGCCGUAAACGAUGGGCGCUCGUCGUCGGCGGCAGACAGUCGGCGGCCAAGCGAAAGCGAUAAGCGCCCCACCUGGGGAGUACGGUCGCAAGGCUGAAACUCAAAGGAAUUGGCGGGG